UCCAGACUCCUACGGGAGGCAGCAGUGGGGGAUAUUGCACAAUGGGGGAAACCCUGAUGCAGCGACGCCGCGUGAGUGAAGAAGUAUUUCGGUAUGUAAAGCUCUAUCAGCAGGGAAGAAAAAAGACGGUACCUGACUAAGAAGCCCCGGCUAACUACGUGCCAGCAGCCGCGGUAAUACGUAGGGGGCAAGCGUUAUCCGGAUUUACUGGGUGUAAAGGGAGCGUAGACGGCAAUACAAGUCGGAAGUGAAAUACCCGGGCUCAACCUGGGAACUGCUUUGGAAACUGUAUGGCUGGAGUGCUGGAGAGGUAAGCGGAAUCCCUAGUGUAGCGGUGAAAUGCGUAGAUAUUAGGAGGAACACCAGUGGCGAAGGCGGCUUACUGGACAGUAACUGACGUUGAGGCUCGAAAGCGUGGGGAGCAAACAGGAUUAGAUACCCCGGUA
rnacentral:rRNA from 1 species